CGAUGGGCUGCAUGUGGUGAGUUAUGGGUGAGUUGUGAGGAUAUGCGAGCUGCAUGGUGGUGGUGGGAAGGUGGCUACAAUUGCACUUAUGUCUUUGGGCACCCAAUCACCUUGGUACUUCAGGCAUUAAGCACCCUUGCCUUUCUUCCUCUUAAUCUUCCUCGUGUAGAACUCCAGCUUCUUGUCUUCCAAAAUGUAUUCAUCGGCUCCGCCACGUUGACCUAUGGAUGAUAUCGACCGAGUCUAUGAGUUUGUGUGCAAGGUUAAAGAGACCUUCCCAACUCUGAUUCGACGAUAUGUUCCUGAUAUCACUACCAUUCCCCUUCACCAAGGAAUGGUGUGGCUACCAACCUGGAAAGCUCUUCCAAGUUACCCUGUUCUAUCGGAUCUCUGGAUGAGAUAUGGAAGACACAAGUAUAGAAAG
rnacentral:lncRNA from 1 species